GAUGAACGCUAGCGGCAGGCCUAAUACAUGCAAGUCGAACGGUAAGGCCCUUUCGGGGGUACACGAGUGGCGGACGGGUGCGUAACGCGUAUGCAACAUGCCUUCCAGCGGGGGAUAUACCAGGGAAACUUGGCGCAAUACCCCAUAGAAUUACGGGACCGCAUGGUCUUGUGAUUAAAACUCCGGUGCUGGGAGAUUGGCAUGCGUGACAUUAGCUAGUUGGCGGGGUAACGCCACCAAGGCGACGAUGUCUAGCUGGUCUGAGAGGAUGAUCAGCCACACCUGGGACUGAGACACGGCCCAGACUCCUACGGGAGGCAGCAGUAGGGAAUAUUGGACAAUGGGGGGAACCCUGGAUCCAGCCAUGCCGCGUGAGGGAAGAA
rnacentral:rRNA from 1 species